rfam:Danio rerio chromosome 4, GRCz11 reference primary assembly.
GCCUAGCUAGCUCAGUCAGUAGAGCAUGAGACUCCUAAUCUCAGGGUCGUGGGUUCGAGCCCCAGCUUGGGCG